ensembl:lncRNA
CAGCAGGCUCCUCCUGCUCCUGGCACUGCGGCCCUCCAGGUGGUCCCAGUGCCCCACAUCUCACCCAGCGCCCAUUUGGGCAUUUCCCCACAGAGAGAAUCUCUUCAUUGAUGCCGACGGUGCUUCCGACACCCGACGCCACUGUAUUUGGUUCCUUUGUGCCCCCUCUGUCCGCUGCUGCAAUGCAGCCGCAGGUGCUCCCCGUGCCCUGCACCCUGCCCGCCAGCUGGGAGCGGGCGGUGGGGCCCCUUGGAGAUGCCGUGGUGCUCACGGAGGACCAGGGGCACCCAGCGCCCACCGACGGGUGCCCCCAUCCCGCCACGGCUCCGCUGGGCUGCAGCACCGCAGCGCUGGACUCAGGGGGUGAGUUUGGGGGCUGCGGGGCGUGCGGCAGGCUGUCCGCACCGGGUGGCUGUGGGAAAGCUGGCAUUGCCCCACUGGGGAUGUCCUUGCUUUUCCAGCAGCCACAGCGAGCGCAGACAUCCCAGAGGACGUGGUUGACAGCGACAUGGGCGAUCUGCUCACGUGGAUCAGUGACAUGACCUCCAAUACAGACAUCCCGGUCGACAGCGUGGAGAUCGAUGAUAUUCUGUCGUGGAUCAGCAACGGUGAGUUCAGGGGCUGCAGAGCAGGCGGGGAUGUCUGCUCCGAGUGGCUGUGGGAAAGCUGGCAUUGCCCCCUUGGGGAUUUCCUUCCUUUUCCCAGAAGGGACACCCAGCUCAGGCAUUCCAGAUGACAGCAUGGAACUCGACGGUUUGCUCAGCUGGAUCGUUGGUGAGUUCAGGGGCCGCAGCGGUGGCGGAUGGAUGUCCGCGCCGAGUGGCUGUGGGAAGGCUGCCGUCCUGGUUUUGGGGGAUGUUCUUUGUUUUGCAGAAGCGUCGAGUCCUCGGGAGGUCCCCCAGCAGGCGUUCCCAGCCGUCCCC